GAAGCGUAAUGUCAUGUGGUGUA
rnacentral:siRNA from 1 species